GCCUAGCCCGGAUGGCAGCGGUAUCCUUUUUAUUGCCUGGAUGCUGCUCCGGUUCACGGAAAGGUAUGUGCAAUAAAAAGAUACAAGCGUACAGCCGGAAAUUGC
rnacentral:sRNA from 1 species